rnacentral:rRNA from 1 species
AAUGGGCGAAAGCCUGACGCAGCGACGCCGCGUGAGGGAUGAAGGUUCUCGGAUCGUAAACCUAUGUCAGGGGGGAAGAAACCCCCUCGUGUGAAUAAUGCGAGGGCUUGACGGUACCCCCAAAGGAAGCACCGGCUAACUCCGUGCCAGCAGCCGCGGUAAUACGGAGGGUGCAAGCGUUAAUCGGAAUCACUGGGCGUAAAGCGCACGUAGGCGGCUUGGUAAGUCAGGGGUGAAAUCCCACAGCCCAACUGUGGAACUGCCUUUGAUACUGCCAGGCUUGAGUACCGGAGAGGGUGGCGGAAUUCCAGGUGUAGGAGUGAAAUCCGUAGAUAUCUGGAGGAACACCAAUGGCGAAGGCAGCCCCCUGGGUUAGUACUGACGCUCAUGCACGAAAGCGUGGGGAGCAAA